rnacentral:lncRNA from 10 species
CCUGACUCCCGCUCCCCCUCCUCCCCCAGCCUACUUCUCCCUGCAGGUGAUCUCGGCGCGCAGGGCCUUCCGCGUGUCGCCGCCGCUCACCACCGGCCCACCCGAGUUCGAGCGCGUCUACCGAGCCCAGUGAGGCGCGGCGGGAGGGCGCGGGGCGGGGAGCGAGCCCCAGGCGGGUCCGGGUCGCAGGACCAUCCCGGCCGGCGCGCUCAUCCCACCCGCCCACCGCAGGGUGAACUGCAGCGAGUACUUCCCGCUGUUCCUCGCCACGCUCUGGGUCGCCGGCAUCUUCUUUCAUGAAGGGGCGGCGGCCCUGUGCGGCCUGGUCUACCUGUUCGCGCGCCUCCGCUACUUCCAGGGCUACGCGCGCUCCGCGCAGCUCAGGCUGGCACCGCUGUACGCGAGCGCGCGCGCCCUCUGGCUGCUGGUGGCGCUGGCUGCGCUCGGCCUGCUCGCCCACUUCCUCCCGGCCGCGCUGCGCGCCGCGCUCCUCGGACGGCUCCGGAC